rnacentral:rRNA from 1 species
AUUGAACGCUGGCGGCAGGCCUAACACAUGCAAGUCGAGCGAGCGGCGGACGGGUGGGUAAUGGAUGGGGACUGCCUGAUAGACCGGGAUAACUACUGGAAACGGUGGCUAAUACCGCAUACUAUCGGAUAACCCAUAUGGGAUUAGCUCGUAGGUGGGGUAAAGGCUCACCUAGGCGGCGAUCUCUAGCUGGUCUGAGAGGAUGAUCAGCCACACUGGGACUGAGACACGGCCCAGACUCCUACGGAGGCAGCAGUGGGGAAUAUUGCACAAUGGGCGAAAGCCUGAUGCAGCAAUGCCGCGUGUAGGAAGAAGGCCUUAGGGUUGUAAAGUACUUUCAGCGGGUAGGCGUUACCCGAAGAAGAAGCACCGGCUAACUCCGUGCCAGCAGCCGCGGUAAUAC